AGGGGACCUGCGGAAGGAUCAUUAAUGAAAUGAAUGUUGAGAAAGGUUGUAGCUAGCCUUUUGGGGUAUGUGCACACCUUGAUCACACAUCCACCUCUCACACCUGGUGCACUAUGUGUAGCUUGGGAUGAUUACAAUGUUAGAAAUGAUAUUGAAAGCCCUAGCUAUGAAUUAUACCUACAAAGUUAUAGAAUGGAUAAUGUUAUAAUAGCGCAAAUAUACAACUUUCAGCAACGGAUCUCUUGGCUCUCGCAUCGAUGAAGAACGCAGCGAAAUGCGAUAAGUAAUGUGAAUUGCAGAAUUCAGUGAAUCAUCGAAUCUUUGAACGCACCUUGCGCUCCUUGGUAUUCCGAGGAGCAUGCCUGUUUGAGUGUCAUGAAAUUCUCAACUGCCUUUUAGCAUUUAUGUUAAGGUGAAGUUGGAGUUGGAGGAUAACUGCUGGCGCAACUUAGGUUGCUUGUUAGCUCCUCUUAAAUGGAUAAGCUUUUCUGAUAGAUUAUAGCUCAGUAAUAUUAAUGUGAUAAUGAUCUACAUUAUAUGUGAAAGCUAUAAGUAGAGUAACUUGAGAAGCUCUCUAUAGAAAGGGUAUAAUAACUUGACAAAUCUGACCUCAAAUCAGGUAGGACUACCCGCUGAACUUAAGCAUAUCAAUAGGCCGGAGGAAA
rnacentral:rRNA from 1 species